AAAGGGAAGGAAAAAGUAGUUGAAUAGCCGUCGAAAUCGCUCGACAACAUUCAAGCUCAAGAGCAAAGGGGAGCUAAAUCCGAUAAAGGGAAGGAAAAAGUAGUUGAAUAGCCGUCGAAAUCGCUCGACAACAUUCAAGGUUUCGCUCGUUAGCUAUCGGAUUCGGGAUCAAAGAAGUCGAAGUCAUCCACACUAUCGAAGCCCCAUUUUGGUACAAAUUUUGGUUGAACUUUGAAAUGGCAUGUAUAGGACCAUCCUUUGUUGAAGGUCAUGUACCUUCCGGUUUGUGUAAACUUAGAUAGCCAUGCGAAAAUGGCUUAUAUAUCGUUUUAGCAUAGAACUAUAAUCGUUUGUAUGUUGACCCUUAUGAGGUAUGGAAUUAUUUUGAAACGAUUAGCCAUUGGAAUGGUUAAUCAUGAUCACACUUUGUGCUAUGUAUGUAAAAAGGGCCGAUUGAAUCAUGGAAAGUAUGAAAUAGGUAAAGCCUACUAAAGGCAGAUGCUGACAGCA